rnacentral:tRNA from 2 species
CCUUCGAUAGCUCAGUUGGUAGAGCGGGGGACUGUAGAUUUAUAAUUGUGAUCCCUAAUCGCUGGUUCGAAUCCGGCUCGAAGGA